UAUCACAGAAACUGGAGUCUAUGUUGAGGAUCCCGUGCGCCUGCCAAGAAUUGUCUGCCCCCAGGAUGUCCGCAGGUCCUGCAUGAUAGGCACAGUAGUGACACUGUUCACUGUGCCCCUUGUCCUGAUAUUCUGCUAUUUUGGGAUCCAGGAAGUCUACAAGAUCAGACGUUCUUUCUCCAGUUCUUUGAUAUAGUUUGUUAUUAUCCCAUGGCAGAAUUACAAGACUACAGAGGCUGGCUAUGGAUGACAGUCGUGCGUCUGGCCUGCUGCUCAGCACAUCCACACAGGAGCUGAGGGAUCAUCCUUGCACAGCCCAUCCUGGAAGAGGAGAGUUCUUUGAUAAAUC